AAAGCCUCCUGUACUGGUGGAUCUCACAGAACCUGAAGAAAUAUAUCCUAAGAGAGAAAAAGACAUUAAUUGUCAGAGCCGCCUGGUGGCCCCCAUGAAACAGCUGUUCCUCAUCAUGGCAGUGCUCUCAGCUUCAGGGACAAAAGGGUGUGGCAUGUGGUGGGCUCUCAUUGGCACCAGCUCUGCAAAUUUGGUUAUCAUCAAGGAGGACAAGCCCAACUUUUUCACUGACCACCCCAAGUCUUUCAGGAAAUUCAAUAAGGGACCGCAUCACCUGCCUGGAAAAGGGCACCACCUGUAGACAGACAGGAGAUCAUGCUAGACUUCCUGCACCAGAGGAAAUGGCACCCUUCUCUCCAUUCUCUACUCUCUUUGGAGACCAUCACUACUGUGACCCAGCAGAUGUUGGGCUGUGUGAGAUCUGCAUCAUCAACACCCUGUGGUCCCUGCACUUGCUGACCAGGCUGCAGAUAUUCACCCACCCACCUGCCGGGCUCAUGCAGACCCACCCAGGUGCAGAGUCCCAGCAGGUGGUGGCUGCAUAGAGGAAGGAGAGGCAGGAGCUGAGAAGCAUUAGCAAGGCUCUGUUAGAUGCUCAGUUUGAGAGCAUCUGCCUCACCUUCCACAAACUGCUUACUUCCUACCACACCCCAUGUGCUUCUCUGGCCUGUACGUGGCCUUGCUCAGUGGCCUGCUCUAUGCAUGUAGACUUGACCCUCUAUCUUCACUACCUGUCCUUGCAGUACCAGGGGCCUCAAAUGCACAAAGUCUACACCAGCUUAAUGAAGAUGCCCUUCCC
rnacentral:lncRNA from 1 species